AUGAAAUUGAGCAAGAAAUGGGGUGUUAUCAUUUGCUAAGACAGCAUUAUUCUCGCCUCAGUUUUACAUCCCUACCUCCUGUUUAAGGUAAACAAUGAAGAAUCAAGUAUCACAAGCUCUGUUAACUCAUGAUCAGGGAUUGCAGAGAGGAAAUUUUACAGUACGUCAUACAAUCAACGGUUCAAUGAAAUGAACUAAGAAGCCUGAAUCUGAAACCUAGUAGGAAGUUCUAAACAUACGCCAAGUACUAGUGCGGUUACCAAUCCUCUACUUCUGAUGUAAAAUGUUGCUUCAGAGUAUAACAUUAUGUAAACAUCCUGAAUGGAUCCAGUCUUGAUUCCAUUGAAACAAAAUAGAACAGUUGAGCAUCACAGGACUACCACCUGCCACAUUCUACCUCCAACUAGGUUCGCUUGAGCAUGAUUUUAAUGGAGCCUCAAAUGCAUUCAGCUAUAGGAGAGAAGCAUUCAAAUAUUUUACAUUCAUCAUCUCAGACAUUGAUAAGACUGAGGAAACCGUUUCGACAACAGAUUGUGUUUCAUGUUGAUAAUCAGCACAAAGAAACCAUAGCAUGGGAAAUGCAUCAAUGCUACUAGCAAGUACCAUAAUGGAGCAUAUGGUAAUGACAAGUCAAGAAAUGGAUAUGACCACCUGAAGCAU
rnacentral:misc_RNA from 1 species